rnacentral:rRNA from 1 species
CCUACGGGAGGCAGCAGUGAGGAAUAUUGGUCAAUGGGCGAGAGCCUGAACCAGCCAAGUAGCGUGAAGGAUGACUGCCCUAUGGGUUGUAAACUUCUUUUAUAUGGGAAUAAAAUGUUCCACGUGUGGGGCUUUGCAUGUACCAUAUGAAUAAGGAUCGGCUAAUUCCGUGCCAGCAGCCGCGGUAAUACGGAGGAUCCGAGCGUUAUCCGGAUUUAUUGGGUUUAAAGGGAGCGUAGGUGGGUUGUUAAGUCAGUUGUGAAAGGUUGCGGCUCAACCGGAGAAUUGCAGUUGAAACUGGCAGGCUUGAGUACAGUAGAGGUGGGCGGAAUUCGUGGUGUAGCGGUGAAAUGCUUAGAUAUAACGAAGAACUCCGAUUGCGAAGGCAGCUCACUGGACUGUAACUGACGCUGAGGCUCGAAAGUGUGGGUAUCAAACAGGAUUAGAUACCCUUGUAGUC